rnacentral:rRNA from 1 species
AAUGAACGCUAGCGGGAUGCUUUACACAUGCAAGUAGAACGAGUGGCGGACGGGUGAGUAAUAUAUCGGAAAGUGCCCAGUAGCGGGGGAUAACUACUCGAAAGAGUGGCUAAUACCGCAUACUAGGGGAACGGGCGAUAUCGGAUUAGCUAGGUGGGGGGGUAAAGGCUCACCAAGGCAACGAUCCGUAGCUGGGUUGAGAGUACGACCAGCAACCCUGUGACUGAGACACGGCCCAGCCUCCUACGGAAGGCAGCAGUGGGGAAUUUUGGACAAUGUGGGAAACCCUGAUCCAGCCAUCCCGCGUGUAUGAGAAGGCCUUCGGGUUGUAAAGUACUUUUGGCAGUGAAGCGGUAUCUGCAGAAUAAGCACCGGCUAACUACGUGCCAGCAGCCGCGGUAAUAC